rnacentral:rRNA from 1 species
GACGUAGGUGGCGAACGUUAUCCGGAAUUAUUGGGCGUAAAGGGUGCGUAGGUGGCCUGGCAAGUUAUUAGUGGUAAAUCGAAGCUCAACCUCGUGGAAACUAGUAAUACUGUUCGGCUUGAGUGCAGGAGAGGUUAACGGAACUCUAUGUGGAGGGGUAAAAUCCAUAGAUAUAUGGAUGAACAUCAAUAACGGCGAAGGCAGUUAACUAUUCUGUUACUGACACUGAGGCACGAAAGCGUGGGGAGCAAAACGG